AGCAGCCGCGGUAAUUCCAGCUCCAAUAGCGUAUAUUAAAGUUGCUGCAGUUAAAAAGCUCGUAGUUGAAUUUCGGGAUCAAUUUAUUGGUCGUGCUAUUGUACGUACUGGUAUUAUUGAUUCUUACCUUCUGACGAACCAUGAUGUCAUUAAUUUGGUGUCAUGGGAAAUCAGGACUGUUACUUUGAAAAAAUUAGAGUGUUUAAAGCAGGCUCACGCUUGAAUACAUUAGCAUGGAAUAACGAAAUAGGACGUUUGAUUCUAUUUUGCUGGUUUCUAGGAUCGACGUAAUGAUUAAUAGGGAUAGUUGGGGGCAUUAGUAUUCAAUUGUCAGAGGUGAAAUUCUUGGAUUUAUUGAAGACUAACUACUGCGAAAGCAUUUGCCAAGGAUGUUUUCAUUAAUCAAGAACGAAAGUUAGGGGAUCGAAGACGAUCAGAUACCGUCGUAGUCUUAACCAUAAACUAUGCCGACUAGGGAUCGGAUGAUGUUAAUUUUUAAUGACUCAUUC
rnacentral:rRNA from 1 species